UAGAUAACCUUAAAAAAAAAUCCACAGAACAAGAAUAGAAGAGAAUAUGUCAUUUUGUAGGAAGGUUCGUUUAUAAUCUUAGCCAUUCUUGGUUUGAAAUUGUUUUCCCUCUUUUAUGAUUGCUGGUUUGAUAAUUAUUUGGUACUUAGUUUUCUACUUUUGAAAAUUUUGCUUGGAUUUUACCAUUUCUUAAUCAUACUUUUCAAAUUCUGGUUUAGAUUUUGAAUGAUAUUAAUAGGUGCAAGUGGUGGCCUGUUUAAGCGUAGUUAGGUAGGUUGAGUUCUGGGUCCACAGGCAAUCUUAUCAAAUAGUGUGGCAGAUCAAGACUGUAGAAAGGAAUGAAAGAAAUAAAAGAAGAGUUUCAAACGGAAAAGAAAUGGCUACAAAUUUCCCCCAUUUCUUUUCACCGCCCAAUAGUCUAUGUUAAAGAGGAUUGUAUUGUCAUUCAUUACAAUGACAAGAGGAAGUGGAGUCAUUUAAGAACAGAACUAUGUAAGAACACAUCACAUCAGCUUUUACUAGCAUUAUCUCAUAAAGGGUGAUCUUUUCUGGACUGAACCCAGGAAUUGCAGGGAAAAUGAAUAGGAUCGCUUGCCAAUUGCUCGAUCGUGAUAGUCUCCAAGAAGAACUCCUGCUGGUGCUUGUUGGUAAUUGUGAUCGCUCCAGGCUCUCCAAAAUCCGAGAAUCCAGGUAAGCGAGGACAAAGCAUCUUGAAAGGAUUCAUGUUGGUACAUGGGAAUAAUUUUUGCAGGUAAUUGUAGAGGAAUGUCAAAGUCAUCAUGUGUCGAAUCCGCAUGCUCGUAGUUUGAUCGGAGGUCAACAAGUGUGAUCUCAUUGAAAAACAUAAGUCAUCCAUCUCGACGUGAUACGUGAAUUGCUCAAUAAUACUUCACUAUUAUCGUAGAUGACAAAAAUAACUUAAUGAUCGAGCAUAUUAGAACUAUAAGGUGAGAGGUUCAAUUCUCAAUACUAAAAUAAAUGAUUAUGACAUCGUAAUAAGCUCGAUUAAAGGAAUGAUUAUAUAAAGCGAGAAGCGCCAAGAACAGGAACAGCGGAAGAAAUCUCCAUUAGAAUCCUUUUAAGAAAGCCAUUGAAACCGCCAUUGUCUUUGCCAAACAAUUCAUUCAUCUUUUUCACCAUACAAUCACAUCGGACCUUCAUCACCCACUUUCUCAUUCGAACUUCCCUAAUCGACCUCCAAAUCACCACCGCUCGCGGCGGCCUUCUGCCGCCGAGGCGGGCCGUCGACAACUUCUUCCUCCGCAGAUGGAUCCACCGGCGCGACGGUCGACGGUGGCCGGAGCGGAGAUGGGGUUGAGCCUCGUCUUGCAGCUGUGAUUCAUAAGACUGAGCCAUGUCGGAAGUGUGGGAGAGAUUUGAGGGGUGUGGCCCUAUUUAUAUUGUUUCUUUGUGGAUUUUAGGGAAUUGUUUGGACUUUGUGAAAAUUAAAUUAGCCAUUUUAUUUUUUUUGGGGUU